AAUAUCCACAUCUGGUGAGGACACAAAAGCAGCAGGAGACAUAAACAGGCUGCCAGCAACUCUCUGGCAUCAACAGAUGGUGUCUUUCCAAAUAUAGAUACCAAAAAGGGAAAACUCUAUCCAUUCAUGGAACAAAAGUGAAAUGUUUAGGAAACAACGAGAUGGCUGAAGACUGCAUCAGGAGGUCCUGGCGGAGGCAGUGUGUCUCGUCCACGGAGUCUCAAGCCCCGCUGUUCGGUCGCAACAAAACAAACAUGUGCCUCAGAUCAUAAACAAACUAGAGCUGUUAGUGUUGAUAAUUCCAUUUUUAUUAAAUGAUCUUUGAUUGCCCUUCAAUUUGUUAGUCAGGUUGACGUAGGGCCCACAUUUUCUGCUCCCAACCAUCUUUGUCUUUACUGUUGAGUAUUUUUACCAGUUCUUCUGUCAAUCCAACUUAUCCAAAGUCAACACUUGGCUGAGCAUCCGUAUUUUGCUUGGCUAAGCAGCCACAUAAGCAUCUAAGCUCCAUUGGGACCGAGAAAGAGAAGAAAUUAGAAGGGCACCUUUUGGCAAAAUUGGCAGAAAUCAUCCGAGACAUCACUAUUUUUUUAUGAGGGAGGUAUUUUUAGAUUUGUGCCUCUGCUAGACUUUUCCAUUUUAAAAGUAAAACGUACAUGGAUAAUCAGUUCAUGUUUUGAAAGGCACAUUGAACAAACAUGAAAUAUAUGCUUUAUGUAAUCCAGCCCAAUUUUCAUCACAUGGUUCAGUAAAGAGUGUGACAG